UUAAACGUCCAUACCACGUUGAAUAUACCGAUUUUCGUCUGAUCACCGAAGUUAAGCAACGUUACGCGCGGUCAGUACUUGGAUGGGGGACCGCCAGGAACACCGCAUGACGUUGGGU
rnacentral:rRNA from 1 species